UUCAAUAGCAGCGCUUAGGCGCUACUGUGCACUUUUCUCUUAGUAAGACGUUGUGAUCCAUUAGGAAUCGACGGUCCCUGGAGGCUGUCAAUGGGCUACCAAUAGACCAAUGUGAAGUUCAUUUAUUGGCAAACAGUCAGGUCGUUUAUGGCCGGGCAUAUUGUCUUGUGAGCGCAUUGUGCACUGGUGUAGCUGCCUGAUGGAUUUUAACGGUCACAUCAUCGAUGCUUUCGGGCAUCACCCGCCUCGGUGGGACAGAUGUGUGCCUGAUCAACAACGGUUACAUUUGGGAUACCUUUGGGACCCGUCUUGAAACACGGACCAAGGAGUCUAUCUAGUAUGCGAGUAAAUGGGCAUAUGAAACCUAUUUGCGUAAAUAACUUGACUGUUUUACAUGGGAUUACGAAUUGCAUCCUCACCGGUGUGUUCCUCCAUCCCGGGGUAUUUUCAUCACUUGUGCUUGCACAAAGAAAAUAUACCAUGAGCAUACUGGAUAUGACCCGAAAGAUGGUGAACUAUGCCUGAUCAGGUUGAAGUCAGGGGAAACCCUGAUGGAGGACCGAAGCAAUUCUGACGUGCAAAUCG
rnacentral:rRNA from 1 species